GCGGGCGUGAUGGAAUGGUAGACAUAUCGGACUUAAAAUCCGAAGGCCCUAGUGCCGUGUGGGUUCGAGUCCCACCGCCCGUACCA
rnacentral:tRNA from 2 species